GAGUUUGAUCCUGGCUCAGAAUCAACGCUGGCGGCGCGCUUAACACAUGCAAGUCGAACGAGAAAGUGGAGCAAUCCAUGAGUAAAGUGGCGUACGGGUGAGUAACACGUGGGUAAUCUACCUUUUGGUGGGGAAUAACCCUGGGAAACCGGGGCUAAUACCGCAUAAGCUCGAAAGAGGAAAAGAGAAAUUUGCCGAAAGAGGAGCCCGCGGCUGAUUAGCUAGUUGGUGAGGUAAAGGCUCACCAAGGCGAAGAUCGGUAGCCGGCCUGAGAGGGCACACGGCCACACUGGCACUGAAACACGGGCCAGACUCCUACGGGAGGCAGCAGUGGGGAAUCUUGCACAAUGGGGGAAACCCUGAUGCAGCGACGCCGCGUGAGCGAUGAAGCCCUUCGGGGUGUAAAGCUCUUUCGGCCCGAACGAUAAUGACGGUACGGGAAGAAGAAGCUGCGGCUAACUACGUGCCAGCAGCCGCGGUAAUACGUAGGCAGCGAGCGUUGUUCGGAGUUACUGGGCGUAAAGCGUGCGUAGGCGGUUUUGUAAGUUUGGUGUGAAAUCUCCCGGCUCAACUGGGAGGGUGCGCCGAAAACUGCAAGGCUGGAGUGUGGGAGAGGUAGGCGGAAUUCCUGGUGUAGCGGUGAAAUGCGUAGAUAUCAGGAGGAACACCUGUGGUGUAGACGGCUUACUGGACCAUGACUGACGCUGAGGCACGAAAGCGUGGGGAGCAAACAGGAUUAGAUACCCUGGUAGUCCACGCCCUAAACGAUGCAUACUUGGUGUGGGCAGUUCAUUCUGUCU
rnacentral:rRNA from 1 species